UGGGGAAUAUUGCACAAUGGGGGAAACCCUGAUGCAGCAACGCCGCGUGAAGGAAGAAGUAUCUCGGUAUGUAAACUUCUAUCAGCAGGGAAGAAAAUGACGGUACCUGACUAAGAAGCUCCGGCUAAAUACGUGCCAGCAGCCGCGGUAAUACGUAUGGAGCAAGCGUUAUCCGGAUUUACUGGGUGUAAAGGGAGCGUAGGCGGUUAUGCAAGUCAGAUGUGAAAGCCCGGGGCUUAACCCCGGGACUGCAUUUGAAACUGUGUAACUAGAGUGUCGGAGAGGUAAGUGGAAUUCCUAGUGUAGCGGUGAAAUGCGUAGAUAUUAGGAGGAACACCAGUGGCGAAGGCGGCUUACUGGACGAUAACUGACGCUGAGGCUCGAAAGCGUGGGGAGCAAACA
rnacentral:rRNA from 1 species